UGGGGAAUAUUGGACAAUGGGCGAAAGCCUGAUCCAGCCAUGCCGCGUGGAUGAAGAAGGCCCUAGGGUUGUAAAGUCCUUUCGAUGGUGAAGAUAAUGACGGUAACCAUACAAGAAGCCCCGGCUAAUUUCGUGCCAGCAGCCGCGGUAAUACGAAAGGGGCUAGCGUUGUUCGGAAUUACUGGGCGUAAAGCGCACGUAGGCGGCCUUGUAAGUUGGGGGUGAAAUCCCGGAGCUCAACUCCGGAACUGCCUCCAAAACUACAAAGCUAGAGGAUGCGAGAGGAUAGUGGAAUUCCGAGUGUAGAGGUGAAAUUCGUAGAUAUUCGGAAGAACACCAGUGGCGAAGGCGACUGUCUGGCGCAUAUCUGACGCUGAGGUGCGAAAGCGUGGGGAGCAAACAGGAUUAGAUACCCCCGUAGUCC
rnacentral:rRNA from 1 species